GCUAUGCGAUGAGUCGCCGCAGCAGAAAGAGCAAUGCAGCGCCAGCAGUAAGAUCAUUACCCCACUGGUUGGGCCGCCUGAGCCAGCACAGUUGCCGAGGUGGAGCCUCCGCUCCAUGUGGGAAUUAGCUUCCGUACUUAAUUUCUUGCAUGUAUUUAGGCCUUUAUUGAAUAUACAGGUUGAGUUUUCAGCCGAGGAGUUCGAGACAGCUUUGAUUACACCAAAUGACACUUUGGGAGAUAUUCAUAUGCCUUUAGUAAGGCAAUCCCUCCUAUUACCCGAAUGGCCCUUACACGGGAUACUUGGAUUACUGUUUUGUGUAGAAAAUUAAGAGACUGGUGGCACUGGGUUGCAGAUGGGGAACUUCCCAUAGUUGC
rnacentral:misc_RNA from 1 species